rnacentral:rRNA from 1 species
UACGGAGGGGGCUAGCGUUGUUCGGAAUUACUGGGCGUAAAGCGUGCGCAGGCGGUUUUGUAAGUUUGUCGUGAAAUCCCCGGGCUCAACCUGGGAAUGGCGAUGAAGACUGCAAGGCUAGAAUCUGGCAGAGGGGGGUAGAAUUCCACGUGUAGCAGUGAAAUGCGUAGAGAUGUGGAGGAACACCGAUGGCGAAGGCAGCCCCCUGGGUCAAGAUUGACGCUCAUGCACGAAAGCGUGGGGAGCAAACGAGGAU